GCGCGUAGGUGGUAGUGCAAGUCUGAGGUGGAAUCCCAGGGCUUAACCCUGGAACUGCCUUGGAAACUGCACUACUUGAGUCAGUGAGGGGAGGGUAGAAUUCCUGGUGUAGCGGUGAAAUGCGUAGAUAUCAGGAGGAAGGCCGGUGGCGAAGGCGGCCCUCUGGCGCUGAACUGACACUGAGGCGCGAAAGCGUGGGUAGCAAACAGGAUUAGAUACCCUGGUAGUCCACGCCCUAAACGGUGGGUACUAGGUGUAGGGCUCGUAAGGGUUCUGUGCCGAAGCGAAAGCAUUAAGUACCCCGCCUGGGGAGUACGGCCGCAAGGUUGAA
rnacentral:rRNA from 1 species